GCGUCGGAGACUCGCACUUUGACUUGGUUCACGUACACAGGAGACCCCGACUCGCUGGGCACGUCGGGAGCCCGCGAGUUAAUGGAGGUGACCGAGGACGUGGACCCGGGGGAGUCGGUCAUCAGCUGGGCUCGGGUCAGACGCUUGCCGGUCCUAUUGGGCGUCUGUUUCAAAAUCCGGGAGCGGGCUUCCACAUAGAUGCGGCUGUAGAGGGCGAUGAGGAGCAAGGUGGGGAAGUAGAAAGCGCCCACCGUGGAGUAGACCGUGUAGAGGAUGUGGUCGGUGUUCACCAAACAGUCCAACACUUCUUCCUCGGCUUUGGCCUGGCGCCAAAAGAAGGGCGGCAGCGAGAUGGAGAUGGAGAAGACCCACACCAGCGCGAUCAUGACUGCCGCCCUCUUGGGAGUCCUUUUAGCUGAGUACUCCACGGCGUCCGUGAUGGCCCAGUAGCGGUCCAGGGCGAUGACACAGAGGUGCAGGAUGGAAGCAGUGCAACAGGUGAUAUCAGACGACAGCCAGAAGUCGCAGACCACCUGGCCCAGCGUCCAGCGGCCGGUGACCACAUACAUGGUGCUGAUGGGCAUCACCAGGAUGGAUACGAGCAGGUGUUUGCACAUGGGCGCACGUGUGUGAAACACGCAAGACAGCCGGGAACCUUCACAGCCGCCUCCGCCGCGGCGCCCUGCGGUCCGCGCGCC
rnacentral:lncRNA from 1 species